UGUAUGUACCGUUCGAAUAAGCAUCGGCUAAUUCCGUGCCAGCAGCCGCGGUAAUACGGAAGAUGCGAGCGUUAUCCGGAUUUAUUGGGUUUAAAGGGAGCGUAGGCGGUAUGUUAAGUCUGCGGUAAAAUGUCAGGGCCCAACCUUGGCUUGCCGUGGAUACUGGCGUACUUGAAUGUGCACAAGGAAGGUGGAAUUCGUCGUGUAGCGGUGAAAUGCUUAGAUAUGACGAAGAACUCCGAUUGCGAAGGCAGCCUUCUGGGGCAUGAUUGACGCUGAGGCUCGAAAGUGCGGGAAUCAAACAGGAUUAGAUACCCUG
rnacentral:rRNA from 1 species